rnacentral:antisense_RNA from 1 species
CAGUAAUGACCAGACACAUCACACCCGCCUUCUAGAAGCCCUCCCUCACAAACCGGAUCAACUGCUAUGAUAAAGGCUCUGUGAUGCAAGCAGAGGAGAUGGUCAGCAGGCAGUCGGGCAGGGAGAGACCCAUGCUGGAGAGGGAUCUGGAAUUUCCAGUGUGUAGGUGGAUUAGGCAGUGGAACAGUCCUUGUGAUCCUGAAGUUAGCAAUGCCCCAGCCUCCUUCUUUCAACACCAGCUCUCACUUCUUGUCUUAGAUUGCUUUGCACCUUCCUCUCCCUUAGUUGAUGUCAGGACCUGAAUAUAUUUGAUAGUGAUUUGAACCACUGAUGCUACAAAUGAAAGAGAUUGAUGCUGGGCCCUGGGACCAGGACAUGUGACAGACCCAGAGUCCUUCAGGGCUGAUGGGCAUGUGCUGGGACUGACACAGGCUAGCAUCUCCCGAGAAGAUGGAAGGACAAGCAACUCCAAUGGGGAUGACAUUGAUGACUCUUCCACCUCUCCUGUUUGGUUUCCUUCUUUUCAUGAUUUGCCAUGAGAAGAACCCACCCAGGUAAUCACUGCUUGCUCAGAUCCCAGCAAAUUCUAGAUCCCAGAACUAGUGCUCUUAGAGCCAAGGCCAGCCGAUCCAAGUCUGGACCACUGCUCAGAUGAGCCAAGCCUGAAUUUGGGAGUGGUCGCGUUACAGAGCAUUACCCUGGCAAUAACUGACUGAUGCAGAGAUGUAAAUAGACAUCACUGGUGGAGCCCCCAGGAAA